GUGGGGAAAGCGGGGGGAGCAAAACAAGGUUUGGAUACCCUGGUUAUUUCCCCCCCUUAAACGAAGGGAUACUAGGGGGCUGGGGCCUUGCCCCCGGUGCCGUUGUUUAACCCAUUAAUAAUUUCCACCUGGGGAGUACGGCCGCAAGGUUUAAAACUCAAAGGAAUUGACGGGGGCCCCGCACAAGCAAGUGGAGUAUGUGGUUUAAUUUUGACGCAACGCGAAGAACCUUAUCAGGGCUUGACAUCCUCGGAUCGCGGUAGAGAUAUCGUUUUCCACAGAGCAAUCUGUGGACUGAGAGACAGGUGGUGCAUGGUUGUCGUCAGCUCGUGUCGUGAGAUGUUGGGUUAAGUCCCGCAACGAGCGCAACCCCUAUUGUUAGUUGCCAUCAUUUAGUUGGGCACUCUAGCGAGACCGCCGUUGACAAAACGGAGGAAGGUGGGGAUGAGGUCAAAUCAUCAUGCCCCUUAUGUCCUGGGCUACACACGUACUACAAUGGCAGUCACAACGGGCAGCAACACCGCGAGGUGAAGCGAAUCCCCAAAGGCUGUCUCAGUUCAGAUUGCAGGCUGCAACUCGCCUGCAUGAAGCAGGAAUUGCUAGUAAUGGCAGGUCAGCAUACUGCCGUGAAUACGUUCCCGGGCCUUGUACUCACCGCCCGUCA
rnacentral:rRNA from 1 species